GACCUGGUGGUGUAACUGGCAACAUCCCUGCUUCUAUUACUUAUUUGACCAUGUUGAUUAGGCAGGAGCUCCCCGUUCGAUUCGGGGUCAGGUCA